CAUACAACCUGAACGACGCACCAUUUUCCAACAGCUCCCAAUAAGCACCCCGGCCUUCAAUCCUUCUUUACAAUGGUUCGCCUUGGGAAAAUCGAAUUCCCCCUCACGUUUAUCUUUAGAUUCCUCGCUACCAACAUUACAUCCCAAAAAAAAACCUGCAGAUUAACGCUAGAAACACCUCUGAGCAUCUCCCUUCGUCUUUCAAGCGCUUCAACAGUCGCCAAACACAACCACCACCCCGUCUUCCUUUGACUUUUACUCCAUCUUCGUCUCCGACCUCCAAUUGGAUUUCAGACUGCUACUCAGACCUCGUCCUAGCGACAAUCGUCGAAGAAGAGCCCGGUUUCUGUUGCCUACAAUAUUUAAUUGCAUAGUAAGUUCAAUCUUUUCCAUCCUCCUUUCCCCCAUCUCCAUAGAUUGUAUCCCUUAAAAAAAAUGAAUUGUUGAUGUUAUGCAUACCAAUUGUUCGAUAGGUUUCUGAAAAUCGUUGAUGUUACGUACACCAAUUGUUCAUGUUACGCACACCAAUUGUUCGAUAGAAUUUCUGAAUUGAUGAAGUUAUGCACACCAAUUGUUCGAUGGAAUUACUCAACAUUUUUUGGUGUUGGAUUAAUGGCUUUCUUUUCCCUUGGGGCGGAGUUACCACAAUCUAGACAGUUCUAGGUCCAAUACGUUUUUCGGGUUUGAAUUCAUGUCAAGCAAGCCCGAUUCUGUUGCCCCAAAUUUGUAACAUGUACCCAUGUAUUAAUUCUGGUUUUAACUUUAUUUGACUGUUCCUACCUUGUUUUUUUGUCCACCGUCCCGUUCUUAGGAGUGGAUUUUUAUUCUUGAAAAGUGAGUACCAAUGUUGGGAUGUUGGGUAAAGCAUGUUGCUAUCUAAAUCUUCUUCUUCUUUCACUUUAAUGUUGUACACCAACUGUUUAAUCAAUGUCACAACUCACACCCACCAACAUAACCUCCGUUUUCAAAUGUUUAACUUGACUCAAUCCGUAAUUACCUUGCUAUGGUCCAGAUAAAAUAUACAUUGAGGGGAAUAUAAUAUCAAAUGUUAUCCUCCGGUCAUAAAGUCAGUAUCUCUUAAUUAAUUAGAUAAAAUUGAUAGUGAGAAGUGACUAUUAAUUUUUUUUGAAACAAUCACUUUUGCUUCUCAAGAAGUGCUUAAAGUAGAUAAUAUACGAUACGCACACAUGAGUAUUGAGUACUACAAUGAACACAUGUGUCCUUGUAGUGAAUUUGGGCGGAAUGAUGAACAUUGUCAACUGUGAAUUUUUUUUAGGGAUAGCUGCCGGAAGUUGAUGUUUACAUCCACCAGAAAGUAGAGAUGUAUGUUGCGAAUGUUCACAUGUCCAUUUGGAGUAUGGAACUAAGGAAGGAUUAUCUUCUUAUUUAGGGAAACAAAUAAGACCAAAACACUUAUUCCUGAAUUGUAAACAAGUAACCAUUUCGAGGUCUUGGUUCUUUCUAGAAAGCCUUCACAUAUUGUGGAAAAGGAACAUUUUCCUGACUGCCUCUUGAACACUUGUAGGUGGAGUUUAUGGUUCACAAAUUCUAUUUGGCACUUCAUGGUUAUCUAUUUUGGUGUGUGUGCAUGUGCAUGAGUUUGUUGGAAGUUAGUGUUAUGGGAUAAUUCUGACUUGUAGGCCAAAGCUUGAUACCUUACUAUUUCCUGGUUGUUUUGUUUCUGCCAAUGGAUAUCUUAGAUGACAUGUUGGCUGGUGAAGGAUGGACUGUGUAGGAUUAAUUGGAAUAUGGAGAGAGUGAUUACUAUCCACUGCUUUAAAAUGGGCACAGGCUUUAUCUGCAUGACAUGAGAGAAGUAGUUGUACGUGCGGUUGUUCCCAUGGAUGAAGAAGGCAAUACAGUUAAUAUGGUAUGGGAGAGAAACCAUCGAUGGCUGGAGAUGUGUACAGUUACGGGAUCACGUUGCUCGAGCUUUUUACUGGAAAGAGCUCUAACCAUGAGAGUUCCACAGCAGAUUUAAGCUUGAAGAAAUGGGUGCAAAUGGCAUUCACAACCAACGUAGAUCAAGUGUUGGAUCCUGGUCUGGUGCCAAUCAAUUGUAGUGAUGUUUAGUCCAUUACUUCAGAGUCAUAGAGUGAUUGCUCGAUUGUAGUACUUGGUGUUGGUCUCGCUUACAUUGUUGAUUUGCCAAACGGACGCAUUAGCAUGAGGGAUGCUAGAGGGCAGUCCCAUUCCUAAAAUAGGCUAUAACAGGAAUGCUUGAUCUGUCCAUCAAUUUUUAUAUUAAGUGCUUGUGCUUGUGGUAUCUGUGUUCGACUUCUACAAAUUCAGAGCUCUUGUGUCAUGGAUCAGAAUUGUUUUAUUUUCCCCCAAUUUUCAUCUCCACUAUGUAUUAUCAGUUGCCUAGAUGUUUGCCGACACAAAAGCCAAUGGCCAAGAACUUAUAUUUGGCCAUAAUAUUAUUACUUUCUUUUACACUA